ACUAACGCUGACGGUAUGCCUUAUACAUGCAAGUCGAACGGAAAGGUCUCUUCGGAGAUACUCGAGUGGCGGACGGGUGAGUAACACGUAGGAAUCUGCCCCAGAGCGGGGGAUAACCAGGAGAAAUCUUGGCUAAUACCCCAUAAGUCGAAAGAUUAAAGAAGUAAUUCACCCUGGGAGGAGCCUGCGUCUGAUUAGCUAGUUGGUGAGGUAAAAGCUCACCAAGGCGACGAUCAGUAGCUGGUUAGAGAUGACGGCCAGCCACAAUGGGACUGAGAUACGGCCCAUACUCCUACGGGAGGCAGCAGUAGGGAAUUUUGCGCAAUGGACGAAAGUCUGACGCAGCAAUACCGUGUGUGGGAAGACGCCCCGUGGGGUGUAAACCACUGUCGGGAGGGACGAAUUAAUGACGGUACCUCCAAAGGAAGCACCGGCUAACUCUGU
rnacentral:rRNA from 1 species